GCUACCAUGCAGUCGAACGAGAAAGGGAGCAAUCCUGAGUAAAGUGGCGUACUGGUGAGUAACACGUGGAUAUCUACCUCUUGGUGGGGAAUAACCUGGGGAAACCUGGGCUAAUACCGCAUAAGUUCGUGAGAAGAAAGGCGCAAGUCGCCGAGAGAGGAGUCCGCGGUCGAUUAGGUAGUUGGCAGGGUAAAAGCCUACCAAGCCGAAGAUCGAUAGCCGGCCUGAGAGGGCACACGGCCACACUGGCACUGAAACACGGGCCAGACUCCUACGGGAGGCAGCAGUGGGGAAUCUUGCACAAUGGGGGAAACCCUGAUGCAGCGACGCCGCGUGAGCGAUGAAGCCCUUCGGGGUGCAAAGCUCUUUCGGCAGGAACGAUAAUGACGGUACCUGCAGAAGAAGCUGCGGCUAACUACGUGCCAGCAGCCGCGGUAAUACGUAGGCAGCAAGCGUUGUUCGGAAUUACUGGGCGUAAAGAGUGUGUAGGUGGUGUCGUAAGUUUGGUGUGAAAUCUCCCGGCUUAACUGGGAGGGUGCGCCGAAGACUGCGAUGCUUGAGUAUGGGAGAGGAAAGCGGAAUUCCUGGUGUAGCGGUGAAAUGCGUAGAUAUCAGGAGGAACACCUGCGGUGUAGACGGCUUUCUGGACCAUUACUGACACUGAGACACGAAAGCGUGGGUAGCAAACAGGAUUAGAUACCCUGGUAGUCCACGCCCUAACGAUGCAUACUUGGUGUGAGCCAUUCAGUUGGUUCGUGCCGGAGCUAACGCGUUAAGUAUGCCGCCUG
rnacentral:rRNA from 1 species